rnacentral:rRNA from 1 species
CAGUAGCCGCGGUAAUACGUAGGUGGCAAGCGUUGUCCGGAAUUAUUGGGCGUAAAGGGCUCGCAGGCGGUUUCUUAAGUCUGAUGCGAAAGCCCCCGGCUCAACCGGGGAGGGUCAUUGGAAACUGGGAAACUUGAGUGCAGAAGAGGAGAGUGGAAUUCCACGUGUAGCGGUGAAAUGCGUAGAGAUGUGGAGGAACACCAGUGGCGAAGGCGACUCUCUGGUCUGUAACUGACGCUGAGGAGCGAGAGCGUGGGGAGCGAACAGGAUUAGAUACCCGGGUAGUCCCUGUCUCUUAUAC